rnacentral:snoRNA from 1 species
UCUUAGCACAUCAGUCAAAUUCCCAACAGACUCAAUUUAUUACAUAUCUGUUGGAGCCGUUAUUGUGCUGAUAUUAAAUGUACUUAAAGAAAAUCAAUUUCAUUCUGCCUUUAUUUUUAUGGAU